CUUAUCGAAUUUCGUAUAAUCAUUAAUGAAUAUAAACUCCAGUUGCUGAAAGAAUAUUCCUGGCAUUAACGAUUACGUAUCUCGGCAUUUCUGGAUGUGACCAGUCAUAAGUCAGUUGUGUUGUCAACAAAGAAACAAGGAACAUAAGUAGUUUAUUCUUUCGUUCCGGUCAAUAAACAAUCUUUGAUUUGUGGAAGUUAAAAUUUUCGAGAGUGGCCGCAAUGAAGGUUCGUUUACUCUUAUACCAACGAAGCAAAUAAUUCCGAACAAAUUUGUCAGACGGCACAGAAGUAGCAUCGACUAUGUGAAACGAAUAUGAAAACUGAUUUGCGUCUUCUAUUGUUUCGUUGCACGUGCGCAAGAGUAAUCGAGCAGGAAGUGUACAUCGAUCGUAUUUUUGACCUGUAUUAUCUUGCAAAUCCAAUUUAUUUCGGCAACUACAUGAAAUUAUUCAUGUAGUUGUUAUGUAAAAACAUAUAUAAUAAGAAGAUAAUUUAUCAUUCAAUUGAUGAAUAUAAUAUGAACAUAUAUAUAUAUAUUCAUACAGUCAAAAUAUCAUGAAAGUAUUAUUUCUUUUCUAUACUUAUGGACGUUAUAUCGUACAUAUGAUUCAGUACGUCUCGGCCUAUAGGCGAUGUAGUUAAACCGUAAACGAUAGAGGACAGAAACUGAAUAGGUGUGAAACUAAAUAAGAAACUGAAUUGAUGAAGAAAUAGAAAAGAAGAGGUGUAAAAAAUAUUCCUGGUCAAGGAACUUUUAUUUUUUCUUUCUUUUCUGUGGCAUAUGUAUUGUGAGGCAAAGGUACGUCCACGCGUUCUCAAUUGCUUGCAUCGUUGCCACGUCCACAUUACAAUAUGAGCCCAAAUUGCAAAACUAAAAACUAGAUGUGUAUCUAAAAUAGUUUUUGUUACCAAUUUUACUAUUUUAAAUGUAUUUGAUCUAUGUGAAUUAAAAUAUGCUACUAGUAUAGUUGAGUAAGUUGGUAAAAAAUGUAAAUGAUUCUAUUUUAUAAUUUUUAUUUUAAACCUGAAGAGUUGUUACAGGUAGAGAUAUCACUAUUUACGCUUAAACGUACCGAGGAAUCAUAUAACAGGCUCAAGUUUAUGCAGCUAUACAUAUAUACCAAUGAAUAACCUUGGAGCUCCAAUCAACUUGCUUACUUCUACAAAGCAAGAAAUUCAAUGAUUUUCAAAAACGAAUACCAUCGAUUGAAAGUCCUCAAAUUUUGAUAACGCGAUAUCAUAAUUUAGAUAAUAUUCAAAGCUCGCACCAUGAAUACAUAUGAAUGAUGUAUUUUAGGUAAUAAUGAUGUAUAUGACGCGUAACCGUAUAUAGAUAGGAAAACAUUCACUAUUCUGCGCCAUGAGCGAUCAUUUCAAAUCUACGGAAAUUCGUGGGUGGAUGGUUAUAUACGCUAAACAGAUUGCCGGUUUAUUUAAACGACGGUGUGUAACGAAAUACGAUGAUGUGCUUGGGAUGAUUCCAAUUUACCAACCUAGUUUUUUCCCUCGUGUAUCCAAGUGGCGCGCUUUUUUUUCAAGAAAUAAACUGGGUCACACGAUGGCAGCAAAGUGUGCGUAUACACGUGUCCAUCGACGAAGAGAAUCGGACGAGUGAACAAGCACGAAAGCAACGUGCUAGAAUAUAAGUUGCAAAGGUGGCGGAUGUAGACGCAUACAAGCAGUGGUAGAGAGGUAUAACGACCUUUGCGGCUCACAGUGAACGUGCGGAAAUCAUUUGUAUAAAAUUUCUAAUCGCAAAGUUCGCGCUAUUGUUAGUCGGUACGCGACGCACGAUCAGGAAAUAAAAUGGCAACAGGAGGAGCGUGAGAACUCACGUAGAGAGAAACGAUUUGUAGGUGGAAAGAACUCCCACAACGUUUCAGCAAUUACAUAUCUCGGAUAAGUUGCAUAGUUGCAUGCAUGUUUCAUGUUGCUUAAUAACAAAGAGUGACGAGUGUUUUAUAGCACAAUCAAACCGGAAACUCGGCUAGCAAUUAAUUUCACCGAACUGCUGAUACGACACUAGCAAGAACGAGCAUGUCGAGACUAGAGGACCAGAAAAGCGAAGUGGAAGAAGGGUACCGUUUAGUAAGGGAGUAAUUAGCGAGUCCCUAGGUAGGUUCUCGUGCAACUUACUGUGGAAAUUCUACGGCUUGUUAAAUGAUGUAGUAGACAGGGUCCAAAAUAUUUUUGUGAAUAUUUUAAGAGUAACAAAAAAACUCGUAGAAACAUGA